AUGUUGUCCCUUGAGGAAACAGAUAUAUCCCACUGUAUUGUGGAAAUGGGAUGUUGUCCCUGGAGGAAAAAAAUACAUCCCACUGUGUUGUGGGAAUGGGAUGUUGUCCCUGGAGGAAAAAAAUAUAUCCCACUGUGUUCCGGGAAUGGGAUGUUGUCCCUGGAGGAAAUAGAUAUAUCCCAGUGUAUUCUUGGGAUGGGAUGUUGUCCCUGGAGGAAAGAGAUAUAUCCCACUGUAUUCUGGGAAUGGGAUGUUGUCCCUGGAGGAAAGAGAUCAAUACCACUGUAUUGUGGGAAUGGGAUGUUGUCCCUGGAGGAAAGAGAUAUAUCCCACUGUAUUCUGGGAAAGGGAUGUUGUCCCUGGAGGAAAGAGAUUAAUCCCACUGUAUUGUGGGAAUGGGAUGUUGUCCCUGGAGGAAAGAGAUAUAUCCCACUGUAUUGUCGGAAUGGGAUGUUGUCCCUGGAGGAAGGAGAUGUAUCCCACUGUAUUCUGGAAAUGGGAUGUUGUCCCUGGAUGACACAGAUAUAUCCCACUGUAUUGUGGGAAUGGAAUGUUGUCCCUGGAGGAAAGAGAUAUAUCCCAAUCUGUUCUGGGAAUGGGAUUUUGUCCCUGGAGGAAAGAGAUAUAUCCCACUGUGUUCUGGGAAUGGGAUUUUGUCCCUGGAGGAAAGAGAUCUAUCCCACUGUAUUCUGGGAAUGGGAUGUUGUCCCUGGAGGAAAGAGAUAUAUCCCACUGUAUUGUGGGAAUUGGAUGAUGUCCCUGGAGGAAGUAGAUAUUUCCCAUUGUAUAGUGGGAAUGGGAUGUUGUCCUUGGAGGAAACAGAUAUAUCCCACUGUGUUCUGGGAAUGGGAUGUUGUCUCUGGAGGAAAAAAAUAUAUCACGCUGUAUUGUGGGACUGGGAUGUUGU
rnacentral:lncRNA from 13 species